GCCUUUUAGGUUUACAGUCUUUUCCUCCCCACGGCUUCUCUUUCCUCCCCGUCUCAGGCACUGGGCAUUUCCAGUCGAUCCAGCAGGUCUGGCUUCUCUCACAUAUGCAGUAAGGGUUAGGGGAGAAGGUCCCAGCUCCUCUUGUCUCUAGCAGAGUGUAAACUGGCUCUGCUGAGGAGGUGGCUGUGCUUUUAUUCCUUCUCCUGAGAACUGUUUAUAUAUUAAGGAGCUUCACAGCCUCCAACAUAAGGAAAGCAGGCCUCAAACUUCUUCAUGGGAAAAGAUGGCUUCUCUUUUUUAAUUGAAUGAACUAGAAGAAGUUCAUUGUUAUUCAUCAACUUCAAAGAGACUAUAUGAGGCCCCUUGGCCAGGACUACAGAGCAGUAUUUUUUAAUCAGAAAUUAUAGCCAAAAAGAAGAGACCAGAACACAUGGGCAAUAAUUAAACAGGACAGAAAAGUGAGUAUUAACCAAAUUACUCAGUAUGUAUUGAAAUAUAUUCCCAUAAGACGGAAAGAACUAACAUAGUCUGGGAAAAUGGAAAAAUAUAUGGACUUGUCCUUUUCUUUCUUACACGGUUUAUAAAGUUCAUUAACACACAUCUAUCUCUCUCCAACUAUACAGCAAUCUGUAAGGCAAGUAAAAAUUAUCAACAUUUUACAGAGAAAACUCUGCUUUGAAAUCAAAAGAUCUGUUAAAGACCUAACUGCAACCACAUCUGUGGCUUCCAGUAUCACUACAUUAGUAGUUAUGUUUUCUAUUUAUUUAGGGUGGGGAGUUGGGGGAAGCAGCAGAACACUUUUUACAAAUUAAAUCUUCUAUUGAACCUGAACUAUAAAGCAUAUAAAUAUACCAAGCAACUUUCAAGUAUUUUAGUAAUAAAGUUACAACUACUGAUAACAAUAAAUUUGUGUUCUCACAAGUAAACAUUUAACUUAAGUAAAUAUGGAAGGAAUUCUUUUUAAAAAGCCAGUUCCUUCACAAUCAAUGACAAUCUUUCUCAUACAUGACACAGUAACAAAAAAAAA
rnacentral:lncRNA from 1 species